AUUGAACGCUGGCGGCCGGCUUAACACACGCAAGUCGAUCGAGCGGCGGACGGGUGAGUAAUGUCUGGGAAACUGCCUGAUGGAGGGGGAUAACUACUGGAAACGGUAGCUAAUAACGCAUACCAUCAGAUGUGCCCAUAUGGGAUUAGCUAGUAGGUGGGGUAAGGGCACACCUAGGCGACGAUCCCUAGCUGGUCUGAGAGGAUGACCAGCCACACUGGAGCGGGGACACGGUCCAGACUCCUACGGGAGGCAGCAGGGGGGAAUAUUGCACAAUGGGCGCAAGCCUGAUGCAGCCAUGCCGCGUGUGUGAAGAAGGCCUUCGGGUUGUAAAGUACUUUCAGCGAGGAGGCGUUACCCGCAGAAGAAGCACCGUCUAACUCCGUGCCAGCCGCCGCGGUAAUUC
rnacentral:rRNA from 1 species